GACGAACGCUGGCGGCGUGCUUAACACAUGCAAGUCGAACGAAGAGCGAUGGAAGCUUGCUUCUAUCAAUCUUAGUGGCGAACGGGUGAGUAACGCGUAAUCAACCUGCCCUUCAGAGGGGGACAACAGUUGGAAACGACUGCUAAUACCGCAUACGAUCUAAUCUCGGCAUCGAGGAUAGAUGAAAGGUGGCCUCUACAUGUAAGCUAUCACUGAAGGAGGGGAUUGCGUCUGAUUAGCUAGUUGGAGGGGUAACGGCCCACCAAGGCGAUGAUCAGUAGCCGGUCUGAGAGGAUGAACGGCCACAUUGGGACUGAGACACGGCCCAGACUCCUACGGGAGGCAGCAGUGGGGAAUCUUCCGCAAUGGAGGAAAGUCUGACGGAGCAACGCCGCGUGAGUGAUGACGGCCUUCGGGUUGUAAAGCUCUGUUAAUCGGGACGAAAGGCCUUCUUGCGAAUAGUGAGAAGGAUUGACGGUACCGGAAUAGAAAGCAACGGCUAACUACGUG
rnacentral:rRNA from 1 species